rnacentral:rRNA from 1 species
AUGAAGCUGGAAUCGCUAGUAAUCGCGGAUCAGCACGCCGCGGUGAAUACGUUCCCGGGCCUUGUACACACCGCCCGUCACACCACGGAAGUUGGGAGUACCCAAAGUAGGUUGCCUAACCGCAAGGAGGGCGCUUCCUAAGGUAAGACCGAUGACUGGGGUGAAGUCGUAACAAGGUAUC